CUUGGACUUCCUCAUUUCUGUAAGAGGCAGCGUCUCCCGGGCUCCUCCAUCCACUCCUCGGGGUCAUUCCUGCUUCCUCUCCCUCUUCUCUGACCCACAGCUCCUCCUCUGACCCUGUGGACUCUGCUCCGUGCUCGUCACUAGUGCUCCUGGGAGGAGAUCCGCCGGCGUCUGCUCAAGAAUGGGGGUGGCCUUGAUCACUUGUCAACCUGGAGCAGGAAACAGCCCCCCACCAUCCUCCUCACAGGGCGAGGGUGAUGGCAGCUUCUAGGAGGGCAGUUCCCGAGACGAGGAAGAGUCUCCCUCUGAAGGGCUUUCCAUCGAGGAGUCCGGUGCGGGGAAGGGCUCCUCUCCUCCCCAGACCUGCCCUCCGAGCCCAGAACAUGACCGAGAAGCAGUCCUGCUCCCCGGGUCAUCACGACUAGGAUCUGAACGCUCACGUGUUGAAGGCCUGUCCCCGUGCAGGGUGUUCGCCUUUGAGGGGUGAUUGGUUGGAUCAUGGGGGCUCUGACUUCAUCAACGGAUUAAUCCACUCAGGGAUUCAUAUUCUGAGGUUUUGAGGAAAGGAUUUUGUUAUAAAAGUGAGUGCACUGUUCUCUCUGUCUCUCUCCCCGCCAUGUUGUUCUGCCCCAUCACAGCCCAUAACAAUGGGUCCAGGGUCCAGGGGCUGAAAUCUCUGACACUAUGAGCCAAAAUGAACCUUUCCUGCUCGAAGAUGGUGUUUUUCAGGCAUUUUGUCACUGCAACAGAAAGCUGGCUAAAAGGUGGGUGGAAUGGAGAGAACCACAGACCCGUACAGGAUGCUGGGGUGCAGCAGAUCCUAUACCCAGCUAAACUAUCACCCAACCUGCUGGUGGAAAUUUCACCAGUGUGAUGGCACCUGAGCCCGGUGGAACUUAGGGCUUGUCUAAUUUGGAGCGACUUCCAUUUCACUUAAUCCUCUGGGGACAGCUGCCUGCACCGCUACCACCAUUGCUGCCUCUGCUUCUGCUGCUGCCAGCCUGAGGUCGCCUGGGGGUCUUCUUUCUAGGCUAGGGCAGAAGCCACUGCUGCGCCCAGAGGUCUCUUCCUGGGCACGGCCUUGGUUACCCCGGACAUGAGUUCCCUCACUACCUCAAAACUACUCUACGAUUUCAUCUCACCCCUGUCAGAAUGGCAAUCAUCAAGAAUUCAGGCAGCAAUAAAUGUUGGUGAGGAUGUGGGGUAAAGGCACACUCAUAUACUGCUGGUGGGACUGCAAAUUAGAAAGCAGUAUGGAGAUCUGAAAAGAAAACUGGGAAUGGAACAUACAACAUACCAUGUGCACGCCGCCCGGAACUCCUAAGGGAAGGAAAAUGAGAAGAAGAACCCAAGGACGGCGGGAAUCGCCCACAUUUGGAGGAACCUGAGGACCACGUGGGCCCUGGACUGUAUUCUGAGCAUCCGGGUCUCAGCACUGGCUUGAGGCUGAAACGGGGCGAGGACCGGGAUUUUGCAUAGAACAUAGCCCAGCUGAGGAGGAACACAGCCUCGAAUCCUGCGAUUCCUCAGACUUUGAAAUGUGCUCAGUGAAAGGCAGACACCAAGUGCCCGGUGGCAAGGGGGUCCACCCACAGGCCACAGGCCAAGGAGGUCAUCCAGAUGCAGAAAGCAGGAGCUGGGGCGUGGGAACGUGGGGACCGCUUACCGGGCACAGGGUUCUCUUUGGGGGCUAAAAUGUCUGGGAACUAAACACAGGUGGAGAGAGCGUGAUGUGCUGUGUGCUCAGUGUCGCUGGACCGUGCACUUCCAAGUGCUCAGUGGCUACUUGGGUUAUAUAAAUUAUGGUUCAAUAACAAAAAGGGGAAAAUGAUAUGAUACCCUAUAAAUUCCUUACACCUUAAGGAGGCACCUCAUGUCCUAUUGGGGAGUUCGGGCAAUAAAGGAGUUUCUGUUUGAACCUACAAGUGCCUCAUGGCGGCUCGGUUAUUUUGUGCCCAGCCAGACUGUGGCAACCUUUGCUCCCACUCUCACAGGGUGUCUGGUCUGAUUCCCAGGUUUUUGAUCCACUCUGAGUUGAGUCUUGUGCCUGGUGAGAGAGCGGGGUUUAGCGUCCGUCUGCUGCUUGUGGC
rnacentral:lncRNA from 1 species